UACGGGGGAGCAAGCGUUGUUCGGAUUUACUGGGCGUAAAGGGCGCGUAGGCGGUCGUGACAAGUCACUUGUGAAAUCUCCGGGCUUAACUCGGAAACGGUCAAGUGAUACUGUCGGACUAGAGUACAGAAGGGGCAACUGGAAUUCUCGGGUGUAGCGGUGAAAUGCGUAGAUAUCGAAGAGGAACACUAGUGGCGAAGGCGGAUGUCUGGA
rnacentral:rRNA from 1 species